AGUCUCGCGAGAAUUAAGAAGGGGCGACGACCUGGGGAGGAGGAAUGAGAUCAGAGAGCCUUCUGACCCCACCCCUUUCUAGAGGAUCCGGAGGCGUUGCCUGGUGACCUCCACAGGGCGUUCUACGCUUGUGCGCCUUUGAUGUGGUGCGCGCACUUGAAUGUUAAAAUACAUUUUUUGGGUUUUCGGGUUUUUUUUAAUUUGGGAGGAAAGAGAGCUGGGGGACGAAGGACGACAUGGGGUUGCUAGAUUACGUGCGCCCCUAAAGAAGAUAGUUACCAGGGGGCGCCUGGGUGGCUCAGUUGGUUAAGCGACUGCCUUCGGCUCGGGUCAUGAUCCUAGAGUCCCGGGAUCGAGUCCCGCAUCGGGCUCCCUGCUCAGCAGGGAGUCUGCUUCUCCUUCUGACCUUCCUCCCUCUCAUGCUCUCUGUCUCUCAUUCUCUCUCUCUCAAAUAAAUAAAUAAAAUCUUAAAAAAAAAGAAAAAAGAAGAAGAAGAUAGUUACCAGUACCAUAAAAGGGGAUUUACACCAAAACUGUAAAAUUAUAUACUCCGGAGUAAAGAACAGCACCUCCCAAGAAUUAUUAGCGUGUAACCUUACGUCGACAUAGACACUGCUUUUCUCAUUUGAAUGCAGUUUAAAACUUCCAUCAAGACAAUUGAAAACCCCAUGAGCAUUACGUCUCUUUCAUACCUUAUCUCUUUGAUCUCUACAACUAAUUGGUCCCGAGGCAUUAGUGUUUCUGUUACAGAUAAAACUGAUGCUCAAAAGGGUUAAGUAACUCGAUCAAAGUCCCACAGCUUGCAAGUGUCAAAAUUCAAUUUGAGUAGCUCCAAAAGCUGUGGCUGAAUUAUCUACAUUGAGCCAAUGGGUUAGAUGUAAGCACUGAGAGAGAUGAAACUGCUCUUGCUGGUGGUUCCCUUGAAUUUUAUAAAUGACCUUGGAGCUUUUUGGAGACUUGGGUUGCAGGAGUCUUCAACAAUAUAAUCAACACUAUUAUUAUUUCUUUCCUUUGAGUGUAUGACUCUGAUGAUAAAGGUGUUAAGAAUACUGGAAUAGCCCUUGACAUGAAUUCAGGAAAACUGUUUCCAAAUCCAACCUGAAUAAGUCUCACUUCAGGCACUCAAAUAUUUGGUGAAUGAAUGAACAAAACCUAACUAGCUAUAAGACACCUGACUUCACUGAGUCUUGAUUUCAUCAUCUGUAAAAUGAUCUAUUUCCUACCUCCUGGGAGUGUUGGGGACAUUGAAUGAAAUAGUGUAAAGGAGAGUGCCUUGGAAAUUGCAGAAGUGCCAAAGAAGUUAGUGAUAAUUAUGACAUUUUCAGACAUGAGAAAUGGCAUAAAAAAUUCAAAACAGACACAAAUAGUAUGUUAAAAUAGUAGACAGAUGAGCUUAGCUAAUGGGAAAAAGCUAAGUGAGUCUAAAAUAUUGAGUUAAUUAUUGCAUAUGUUUUGUUACAAAAGAUGUAAAAAUGUGUAGGAAUCAGCAUGAAUUAGUAUUAUUAGAUAUUACUGUUAUAGUUAAGUAUCGACGGCACAUAGGGGCUGCAGUCAGUUUCCCUCUAAGAGCCUGGAAAUCAGGUUGCCUUCAGAAUUAAACUAAUAAGAAUUUACAUAGAGAAAAUCAGCCAAAGGUGAUCAUAAACAUAUUUAACAAGUAGUGCUGAAGCAUUUAUCUAGCAGAUUUGAAGUCCAUGAAGUUGUGGAUAUAUCUUUCUGUGCUAGGUAUUAACCCUUUAGUUGCUAAGGCAUGAAGAGUAGGUCCCAAGGGCUCCCAGGGGAGGGGAGUUGUCAGGAAGCUUGGGGUAGCAGGUAUUUAUCAGCUAGUAUGAAACUAUUUCAAUAUUUUAAUAGUUAAUAUUAUAACGUACCAGUCAUACUGGUACACACAGACUGAAUAUUAGUCCUUGCUAUAGACUAUUAACAAUAUUCUCUGCCCCUGCCUUUCUAAAUCCCUGCCUAUCUAGUCUGUCCCUAGGAGAUUAUACUUCUCACCCUAAUGUCAUCAAGCUUGGCAUUGUUUUGGUCAAUGAAAUGUGAGUAGAAAUGGCAUGAACCACUUCUGAGCAGAAAUGUAUGGGCCAUCUAAUGAUUCCACCAUAUUAUUUUUCAUCUGCCAUGAGAGCAGCAUGUCCCAAAUAGAACUGCUUCUCCAGCGUUGGUCCCAGAAUAAAGAUGUGCAGAGCCACAGCUGAUGUACAUGACAUACAUGUGAGGUAAGAAAUAAACCUUUGUUAUUGUAAGCCACUGAAAUUCAUUUAGUUGUUUGCUAAUGCCGCAUAACCUAGCAGUCUAAGCUGACUAAUGCAACCUUAAAAUCAGCUAUCCGUGGUGGUAAGCCUAGAGUUUAUCUACAAACAUGAUCAAAAAACAAACUGAACUCUGGUCCAGGCAUACAAGAGAAAUCUCAAGAAGGCAGAUGUGAUUGUAAUUUAAUAAAUGGAUGCCUAAUCAGUCUUACCAACCAGUCAUUCUGUAUCUUAUUUGGAGAGAGAUUCUGUGAACCAAAGGGCUUAAUCAGCCAUGACAACCCAAAACAGGGCAGUCACAGAGGCAAGCAUUAGUAUUGCCCUUCUAAGUUCUGCCCCAGUCAAACUGACCUGGGCAUUAGUAUUUCCUUGUCCGUGUCAUCCCUACAGUGGGUGAGAAUAUCUCAGGCUGCCUCAGCUGAGAAAUGCUUCUUAAGAUCAACGUGCUUCCCUGGUGUGAUUCUAUACUCACCCAGCAAAUGACUUACCUAUGGGGACAGAAUUUAGUGAUCUGCCACCUAGAGGAUCCCAGUUCUUUUGAUAAUUACAUUUUUCAUUGUACAUCAGCCUGUUGAUUCUGGCUUAUAUAACCAUCAGUUUCUGUGAACUUAAUGGAUACAAGAGCCGCCCUGGGAGAUGGUUCCACUCUGCUUACUAUUAAAAUCAGGCUUCUGAAUUUGCAAGGCUAAAGACCAGUUCUGGGAUGUUGGUAAAUUCCUUAAGGUUAUAGCACUCUAGUAGAGGGACCCGUCUAGAGGGCCGACUAGACUACCCUCAGCUACACCUCUCUAUCUCAUUAUGUGCUUUCUUUGAUCUAAAAGAAAAGCAGUAAAUGUUAAAGACAGACAUAAUUCACAAGCUGUGGGAGUUCAAAAAGGAGAGCAAUUACUUCCACUUAGUAUGGAAUAGCGGAAGGAGAAAGAUUGGCAUGGAUGUGACCUUUGGGUCUUAAAAAAAUGAGUAGAACAAGGGAAAGAGCAUGCCAUGUGUAGGUAGCCAAUGGAGCAAAUAUAGGAAGCAAGAGAUCAAUUGAGGAAAUAUAGAGUAACAGGAAAAGGAAGAAGAAUCAUCUGGAAAGUUAUAUAUGGUCAGAUUAAGGCUCUUGGGUUUUAUUUUCUGCUAAGGGGAGUUAGUAUGGAAGUUUUUUUGGUUUUGCUUGUUUUACCGCUUUAGCCAUUUUUGAGUAUGUAGUUCAUUGUCAUUAAGUACAUUCACAUUGUUGUGUAAAUAUCAGCACUCUCCAUCUCCAGAACUGUUUCAUCAUCCUCUGCUGAAACUAUACCCAUUAAACAAUAAUUCUCCAUCCUUCCCUUCCCCAACUCCUGGUAACAACUGUUCUGUUUUCUGUCUCUUUGAAAUUUAACUAUUCUAGGUAUCUCAUAUAAGUGGAAUCAUUCAAUAUUUGUCCUUUUGUGUCUGGCUUAUUUCACUUAGCAUAAUAUAUUCAAGGUUCAUCCAUGUUGUACCAAAGUUUCAUUUCUUUUUAUGGCUGAAUAUUAGUAUUUCAUUAUGUGUAUAUAGCACAUUUUGUUUAUCCAUUUAUCCAUCAAUGGACAUUUGGAUUUUUUCCAUCCUUUGGGUACUGUGAAUAAUGAUGGCUAUGAAUAUUGGUGUACAAAUAUCUGAGUCCCUGCUUUCAGUUCUUUGGGGUAUAUACUGAGAAGUGAAAUUGCUGGAUCAUAUGGUAAUUCUAUGUUUAAUUUUUUGAGGAACCACCAUACUGUUUCCUACCAUGGCUACACCAUUUUACAUUCCCAGUGACAGAAGUUUUUACAAAAGGAUUGACAUGGUGAAAACUGUAGUUAAAGACAAUCUGGCAGAGAUGAUAAGAUGGAAUGGGAUUGCAAAAGGACCACUGGAGACUUCCACAGUAGUUCAGGCAAGAUGCAAUGAGCUCCUGAACACAUCAGCAAUGAGAACAACUGCAGAGGUGACAUUGCCACGCUGGGAGGAUGGUAGUCUCCAGAUGAAGAGUUCUGGACUUUUCUAGAGCAUGGAGAAGUCAUGAGUUCAGGUUGGAACAUGUAGAGUUGGAUUACAAAUGAGACAUUGUAAGCUGUGAGGUGAACAUUGUUGUCUUGCCUGCUCAACACCUUUGCCCCUUCAACUGGUAGUGGCACUCUACUUUUUUUUCUUCUUCUUUUAGAUUGUAAAACCAUCCUUCUUCAUCUGCAUGUAGUGCUGGGCUGAAAAGGUCUGUGGCCAUGAGAAUGCACUUUUCAGAUCUCCAACUGGGAGAAGUGUAAUUCAUCAGCAGCGCAAGUGCUGAGCUCUGAAAUCCAUCACCCCUUACUCUCAGGCCUCCCCUCCCCCAGGCUGGUCCUGGCCAAUGACAGCCCUGCAGGAAUUUUGGGAUAAGCUUUUUUCAGAAUAAAUGAUGCUCUUCUAAUGGGCCACCUUGGCCCAAGGGCCCUCAAUGUUGCCUUGCCAAACUUUCCUUGGAACUACACUGCAGUCUAAGACCCUUCCACCUAGAACUUCUUCCUUCUCUCUCCUUCCCUUAGGGUCAGAUCUGCAUCAUUGUCUGAUGGUCCUUGGUCUCUCAGCUCCUACCCCAUUUUCUCUCACAGGUGUUUUUCAUAAUAAAUUCCUUGCAUUUAAUCCUGUCUUGGUAUCUGAUUUUCUAAGGAUCUGAACUGGCAUGAGGGAAGGGAGGAUGGGAUAUUUCUUUCCACAGCAUAUCUUCCAUAUCCCAUCAGCUGUAGGAGUAGGCAUAUGACCCAGUCUGACUGAUCAUAAUGAUCCCCACAUCUUGGCCCAAUGCUUCCUCACAGUGUCUCAGCGUCAUUUCACUCUCAGACCAUUAGUUAUUUGGUCCACCUCACCCACAGACGUGGCUGACCAACUCUGAGUGAGGCCUUACAGUUCUGCCUGAGGCCAACUAAUUGCAAAUGUGGAUUCUAAGGCUUCUGCAGCUUUCAGACCCUGAUGACACACCUCUUCAGAGAACAUGAGCUCUGGCUUCCUGAGCAGCUGCUGAAGGGGCCAAUGAAGCAACCUGGAAGUAUAGGAGAUUUAACUACCCAUAGGGCAAAGUAAUCAAUGGGAGACAGGAGACAGGAAGCAGCAGGAUAGAACAAUCCAGUCUCUUUUCCUUCCUCUAAUGGAUUGUUUCAAGGUACAAUUUCUCUAUGCAACCUAUCUAGAGACAUUCCACAUGGCCAAGUGGGUGGACCUCUCAAGAGACUAGCUGUGUCUCUUCGCAGCUCAUCGUGAAGAAGUAGCAAACAUUUCCUUGCAUUGCUUUCCAUCUUUUCCUGCUUCCCCUAUCCCUUCAUUCUCACUGCCCUAGAAAUCUGCAUCCUACAAAAACCUUUAGCACUUAAUCCCUUCUUCAGACUUUGUUUUCUAGGAACCCUUGCUAAGACAGGUCACAGUUGCACAGAUGAGCACAUGACCCAACCUAAGCUAAGCAAAGCCCUCUGGAAGAUGUGAAAUAUAGAUCCAGGAAAGAUAGGACUUUUCUUCUGGAGGUCUUGAGCCAUAUGGAUCUGGGGGUGGCCAUCAUUUCUGCUUCAUGAAGAGAGCCUGCCUGAGCAUGAAGUCAUCACAAAGGAAGGCAGAGCUCUGUGAACUUUCUUUGAGCUGCUAGAUCCAACUCUCCCCAAUAUGCGUAACUGUUUUGUCAUUUCUUGAUCUCUCUGAAGACCAGUUUUCCCAAUCCAGAUCAAAACAUGGUCACCAGUGGAUCCCAAGUCACCUCCAUUCAAGAGAUCAGCCAAGCAACUAAACUUUUAGGUUCCAUUUCGAAUUUCUGGGAGAAGAGCUACUGCUUGGGCUAGCUUUGGCCAGAUGUCCACCCCUGAAGCAAUCAACAUUGUGGAGAGAGAUGCAGGGUCAUGUAUAAACAUGGCUGUAUUCACUGUGACCCUGUGGAUAAUGGUGUGAUAGCAAGGUGUGGGAUAGAAUAACACGUCCCAGAAAAGUGGGAGGAGAGAGUUGGGCAGAUGAAAGAAAUGCUGCCCACUCCUUGAGAAUAAAUAAGGGGACAGAGGAUAAAGAGAAGAAGUCAGAGGGCAGAAUGCAAUCUAACACAAUGCUACCCUACACUUUUUCUAAACCAACCCUAUUCCAUAGAACUUUCUGCAAUGAUGGAAAUGUUUUAUUUUUUUUUAAAGAUUUAUUUAUUUUAGAGAGAGAGUGUGCGAGUGGGGGAGGGGCAGAGGGAGAGAGAAUCACAAGCAGACUCCCUGCUGAGCGCAGAGCCCAAUGUGGGGCUUGAUCUCACAAUCCUGAGAUCAUGACCUGAGCCGAAAUCAUCAGUUGGACACUUAACUGACUGAACCACCCAGGCAUCCUGGAAAUGUUUUAUAUUUACGUUGUUCAGUAUAGUAGGCACCAGUCACAGGUAGCUGUUUAGCACUUGAAGACAGGUAGUGCAACUAAGAAACUGAAUUUUUAUUUCACUUUAUUUUAAUUUCAGUUUAAAUAAGCUAUAUGCAUUUAAUGACUACAUAUUGGACAGCAUAGAUCUAGACUACUGAUUUGCUUGGGAAGGCAGUAUGGAAUGUUAGCUAAAGCAUAUGCUUUGGAAUCAGCCUACUCUGGGUUCAAGUCCCAACUCUAUUUCUUAGUGGUAUAAAUUGAACAGGUGACUUAACCCCUCUGAGCUGUAGAGGUGAAAGAUACAAAGAACAGGAAAUGAUAUGUGGUACCAGAAAAAGAGAAAGGGGCAAAAGAUCUGCAGAGGCACAAAGAGUCAGUUGAAUUUGACAAUUAGGAGACUGAGUGGAUUAAGACAGAAAAGUGUGAAAAGUGUGAGGGGUGAAAGCCAGACCAGCAGUGUACCUGUCUUUUGCGCAUCUGCUAUUUUUCUUCCCUCUGGAGGGGUAUCCCAGGCAGGGAGAGAUAAGGAACACAAGGGCACCUGGGUGGCUCAGUCAUUAAGCGUCUGCCUUCAGCUCAGGUCAUGAUCCCAGUGUCCUGGGAUCGAGUUUCUCGUCGGGCUCCUUGGUCGGUGGGGAGCCUGCUUCUCCCUCUCCUACUCCCCCUGCUUGUGUUCCUGCUCUCACUAUCUCUCUCUAUCAAAUAAACAAAUAAAAUCUUAAAAAAAAAAAAAAAAAGAUAAGGAACACAUUUUCUCUUAAUCCUGGUGGCUUGUGGGGAGCUGAGAACCUAAAGGCAUGUCCUGAAAACAAGGCUCCAAAGUCAAGCCAGAAAAACAGAACCAAUCACUAUGAGUCAUUAGGUCUGAAGCCAAAGAUGGGAUUGCCUAGACCAAGGAAGCCACAAGGCAUGAACAUCUCAUAUACAUCCCCUUGUUACACAACACUUACUGUGUGACUAGACUGUGAGUCCUUCCAGGUUCAGGGCCUUGUUCAUCUUGGUAUCUCCAACACCUAGUAAGUUCCUGGCACCAUAGUUGGUGCUUAAUUAACAUCUAUAAAAUGAAUGAAUGCAAGUAAGCCAGUUCACUCCCCUCCCUGAUGCAUAGUGGACACUCUGUUAAUUGCAUUAUCAGAGGGAGAAAACUACGGUAAGAAGGUGCCAGGGAAUCCUUCUUGGCUUGGAAACUAUUGGUAAGGUCCUUAGCAUAUUGCCUGGCACAGAGGAAUUGCUCAACAAGUGUCACUAUGGUAAUUAUUAUUAGUGGGGGGAGGAGGUAAGGUUUUAUAUAAGGAUGGGAGAAGGCCUUAAUAAUAAUAAGAGCUAAAAUAUACUGAUCUCAUUUAGUCCUUAAGCCAACUUGAUAAGGUAGGUUUUAUUAGACUAAUUUUACAGAUGAGAAAACUUAGAGAUGUAAUUUAUCCAAAAUUAGCCAGCUUAGAAAUGGCAAAGCUGGGGGGCGCCUGGGUGGCUCAGUUGGUUAAGCGACUGCCUUCGGCUCAGGUCAUGAUCCUGGAGUCCCGGGAUCGAGUCCCGCAUCGGGCUCCCUGCUCGGCAGGGAGUCUGUUUCUCCCUCUGACCCUCCUCCCUCUCAUGCUCUCUGUCUCUCAUUCUCUCUGUCUCAAAUAAAUAAAUAAAAUCUUAAAAAAAAAAAAAGAAGAAGAAGAAGAAAUGGCAAAGCUGGUAUUGAACCUGAGCUUAUAAGUCUCCAGACUCCAGGCUCUACCAAAAAGGGAGCCAGGGAGUAGGAUUCUCAAAAGAGGAGUUUAAGGAAGGCAGUUCUUGUGUCAAAAUUCACUUCUGAUUUCUAUCUGUUCACGUAAGUUGCGAUGCUUUUUUUCUCCCUUCCACACCCACUACUUGUCUUCUUGACAGGGUCCUCAUCCCUUCUACUGAGUUUACCUCUAGGCCACCCUUCUAAUUCCUAUCCCAUUCAACCAUAUCUAUUCUGGGUUGACUUAAAGUGGCAGUUGAAAUGAGGUCAAAGGGAGCUUUUUAUUUAUUGGUUUGGUUUUGAUUUUAAGAAAAGAGACUCGAGCAAUUUUAUAAACUGAACAUUCCAGUAGACAGGCAGAAAUCGGCAAUGCAAAAGAGUAUCUACAGAGGUAAGUUCUUGGUGUCCUUACCUCAGGUUGGGGAGAGGCUGGCCUCUGAGACCUGGGACGCUGUGACUUUCCUUCAUAGCAAAGGAAGACAGGGAAUAUGCGUACAAAAGCAAGAAAGUUAGUAAAGGUUAGGAUGCUUAAAAUCAAGAGUUAAGUUUUACAGCAAUUAUGAUGGCAUGGUAUAGGGCAAUAUUUUUCAGAUUGCAGGUCAUAACCCAUUAAUAGGUCAUGAAAUCAUUUAGAAGUUUGUGACCAGCUUUAUUUAAAAAUGGAAUAGAGGGGAGCCUGGGUGGCUCAAUUGGUUAAGCAUCUGCCCUUUAGGUCAGGUCAUGAUCUCAGGGUCCUGGGAUUCAGCCCGUGUCAGACUCCUUGCUCAGCGGUGAGUCCUUUUCUCCCUCUCCCUCUGCCCCUCUGCCUGCUUGUGUCCUCUCUCCCUCUCUCUCUCUCUCUCUCAAAUCAAUAAAAAAAAAUUUUUUUUGAGUAAAGCAAUAGACAUUUAUUAAGUGAAGAUACAGAAAAGUCUCUCAAGAGUGAGAGGGGUCCCAACAGGGUUGCCCAAUAAAUAAAAUCUUUUUAAAAAAUAGAAUUGAAUUGAAAAUUUGAAUUGAUUGCACUUUGCAGGGUAAAUACUGUAGAAACUGUUGUGAAACUUUAUUUAAGUUAUUUAUAUAGCUAUGUGUGUCCUGGUCACACUGUACAAUUGAUUUCUUAUUGAGGGUACAAUAAAAAAUGUUCAAAAGCCACUGGUCCACGAUGUGACCGUGGGAAAAGUGGCUGAUUCCUAGAACUUUCUUUCUCUUCCAGAUUUUUCCAUGAUACUCAUAAAUUGUCUUGCUUUGUGGUUGAUAAUAGGCACUGUAAAGGGCAUGAGACUGAUCAACUAUGCCAGAGCUUCCUAAGUAGUGAACACAGUAUGUGGGUUACAUAUGUGCCCCCAAAUUAAUCUCCUAGUCAUCAGGUCUACUCUUUCAGCCUGGUUUCUGCUCCCCUAUUGCCCCAAGAUGACAGCCAACAUCUCCCAAGGCUCGCCUGCUUCCUCAUUCAUGGUUAGCAAGGAAGAGACUGUCCGUGUACCAGCCUUCUCGGCAAAAAUCCUGAGAUUCCCUCUGAUUGGACUGGCUGAUUCAUAUGUCCAUCCUGAACCAAUCAUUCUCGCCAUUGACUAUCUCAGCCCUGCUCUACUCCCAUGGAGUCGGCUUCCUAGAAACACAUGGAUCCUGGAAAAUAAUGAGCACCUGGGACAAAGCCUGGAUCAAGGUUAACAUCAAAAAACUUCGUUUUAGAAAAACGUUCCAUGCUCAUGGAUUGAAAGAAUGAAUAUUGUGAAAAUGUCUAUGCUACCCAGAGCAAUCUACACAUUUAAAGCAAUCCCUAUCAAAAUAUCAUCAACUUUUUUCAAAGAAAUGGAACAAAUAAUCCUAAAAUUCGUAUGGAACAAGAAAAGACCCCGAAUAGCCAGAGGAAUGUUGAAAAAGAAAAGCAAAGCUGGUGGCAUCACAAUUUCGGACUUCAAGCUCUAGUACAAAGCUCUAAUCAUCAAGACAGUAUGGUACUGGCACAAAAACAGACACAUAGAUCAAUGGAACAGAAUACAGAGCCCAGAAAUGGACCUUCAACUCUAUGGUCAACUAAUCUUCAACAAAGCAGGAAAGAACGUCCAAUGGAAAAAAGACAGUCUCUUCAACAAAUGGUGUUGGGAAAAUUGAACAGCCACAUGCAGAAUGAAACUGGACCAUUUCCUUACACCACACAAAAAAAUAGACUCAAAAUGGAUGAAAGACCUAAAUGUGAGACAAGAAUCCAUCAAAAUCCUUGAGGAGAACACAGGCAGCAACCUCUUCGACCUCAGCCGCAACAACUUCUUCCUAGAAACAUCACCAAAGGCAAGGGAAGCAAGGGCAAAAAUGAACUAUUGGGACUUCAAGAUAAAAAGCUUUUGCACAGCAAAGGAAACAGUCAGCAAAAGGAAAAGACAACUGACAGAAUGGGAGAAGAUAUUUGCAAAUGACAUAUCAGAUAAAGGGCUAGUAUUCAAAAUCUAUAAAGAACUUACCAAACUCAACACCCAAAGAACAAAUAAUCCAAUCAAGAAAUGGGCAGAAGACAUGAACAGACAUUUCUGCAAAGAAGACAUCAAAAUGGCCAACAGACACAUGAAAAAGUGCUCAACAUCACUCGGCAUCAGGGAAAUCCAAAUCAAAACCUCAAUGAGAUAUCACCUCAUACCAGUCAGAAUGGCUAAAAUUAACAUGUCAGGAAACGACAGAUGUUGGCGAGGAUGUGGAAAAAGGGGAACCCUCCCACACUGUUGGUGGGAAUGCAAGCUGGUGCAGCUACUCUGGAAAACAGUAUGGAGGUUCCUCAAAAAGUUGAAAAUAGAGCUACCUUAUGACCCAGCAAUUACCCUACUGUGUAUUUACCCCAAAGAUACAAAUGUCGUGAUCCAAAGGGGUACAUGCACCCCGAUGUUUAUAGCAGCAAUGUCCACAAUAGCCAAACUAUGGAAAGAGCCUAGAUGUCCAUCAACAUUGAAUGAAUAAAGAAGAGGUGGUAUAUAUAUACAAUGGAAUAUUAUGCAGCCAUCAAAAAAUGAAAUCUUGCCAUUUGCGACCAUGUGGAUGGAACUAGAGGGCAUUAUGCUAAGCGAAAUAAGUCAAUCAGAGAAAGACAAGUAUCAUAUGAUCUCACUGAUAGGAGGAAUUUGAGAAACAAGACAGAGGAUCAUAGGGGAAGGGAGGGAAAAAUGAAACAAGACAAAACCGGAGAGGGAGACAGACCAUAAGAGACUCUUAAUCUCAGGAAACAGAGUGGAGGGGAAUGGGAGGUAUGGGAUGGCUGGGUGGUGGACAUUGGGGAGGGCACGUACUAUGGUGAGCGCUGUGAGUUAUGUAAGACUGAUGAAUCACAGACCUGUACCCCUGAAA